rnacentral:tRNA from 1 species
GCCUGGGUGGCUCAGUCAGUUGAGCAUCCGACUUCAGAUCAGGUCAUGAUCUCACAGUUCAUGAGUUCAAGCCCCAUGUCAGGCU